AACGAACGCUAGCGGCAUGCUUAACACAUGCAAGUCGAACGGGUUAGGGAGGAGACUUUCUAGCCAGUGGCAGACGGGUGAGUAAGACGUGGGAACGUACCCUUGGGUGGGGAUAACCUGUGGAAACGAGGGCUAAUUCCGCAUAAGUCCGUAAGGGAAAAGGCGCAAGUUGCCGAAGGAGCGGCCCACAGUUGAUUAGGUGGUUGGUGGGGUAAAGGCUCACCAAGCCGAUGAUCAAUAGCUGGUUUGAGAGGACGAUCAGCCACACUGGGACUGAGACACGGCCCAGACUCCUACGGGAGGCAGCAGUGGGGAAUUUUGGACAAUGGGGGGAACCCUGAUCCAGCAAUGCCGCGUGAGUGAAGAAGGCCUUCGGGUUGUAAAGCUCUUUCAUGGGGGACGAUAAUGACGGUACCUCAAGAAGAAGCCUCGGCUAACUUCGUGCCAGCCGCCGCCGUAA
rnacentral:rRNA from 1 species